rnacentral:tRNA from 1 species
AGGGAGAUGGCUUAGUGGUUAAAUGCACUUGCUGUGCAAGCAUGAGGACCUGGGUUCAAAUCCCCAGUUUCUAUG